rnacentral:rRNA from 1 species
AGGACGAACGCUGGCGGCGUGCUUAACACAUGCAAGUCGAGCGGAAAGGCCCUUCGGGGUACUCGAGCGGCGAACGGGUGAGUAACACGUGAGUAACCUGCCCCUAGCUCUGGGAUAGCUCCGGGAAACCGGGAUUAAAUACCAGAUACGACCACUUUAGACAUCUGUCGUGGUGGAAAGGAUUCCGGCUAGGGAUGGGCUCGCGGCCUAUCAGCUUGUUGGUGGGGUAACGCCUACCAAGGCGACGAC